UACAGAGGUCUCAAGCGUUGUUCGGAUUCAUUGGGCGUAAAGGGUGCGUAGGUGGCGCUGUAAGUCGGGUGUGAAAUUUCGGAGCUUAACUCCGAAACUGCAUUCGAUACUGCGGUGCUUGAGGACUGGAGAGGAGACUGGAAUUCAUGGUGUAGCAGUGAAAUGCGUAGAGAUAUGGAGGAACACCAGUGGCGAAGGCGACUCUUUGGUCUGUAACUGACGCUGAGGCGCGAAAGCGUGGGGAGCAAACAGG
rnacentral:rRNA from 1 species